rnacentral:lncRNA from 1 species
CGAUCAUUAACCUUAAAGAUCUCUAAACCAGUGUCUGAAAAAUCCCAACUGACCCCAGACCCAUGAAGACCACUAUUACUGACCCCAUGCACCCUGAAAAUCAAGACAUUUCACAGAACUCGCAUUUAUUGAUUCCCACACACUCCCAAUCCAUCUUCUUCAGAGACCGUGCCACUGACUCCCGCAAACCUCUGUCCGCCACCACUGAGGCCCCGCGAGGCUCAGACGCCGAAUCUCUUAACCCUUCAGUUCCCUUGUCAUUGACCCUCACGGGCACCCAUAGCUGACCCAGUCGGCCACCGUAGUCGGCAGCUCACUAUCCUCCACUAGUCCCAGGUUUGACCGUUUCUCAAACCGUGCCUUCCCAUUUAUGCUGCAUCCGCGCCCUGAAUCUGAAAUUGGUCGUCCUGCCACGCCGCCUCACCGCGGUAUAAGGUCGUCCCAUCCUGAAUGGCCGGUGCGCAGACUCAAUUGCGACUUUGAGGCUGUCAGCCGCCACCCGGCAACCUUCCAGUGAACAGGAUUCUGGGUUUCUCAAAGCUGUAAUUGGAGGGCCACUCCAGAGGUGUUAAAGCUCCAGCACUUCGAGCCUGCCUCGUGGGAAAGUCUUAGGCUGAGUCUGUAGGUGUCUGCAGUUAAGAAGCCAGCGGUCUGCAUAUGAUUGCUCAGGGGUGGUGGCUGGGUCCAACAGCAUUCACUACAGGCCUGCCUUGAAUACCACCUAGCGCAGUGCUCCGCAUAUCACAGGGGCUGGAAACCUAACAAUUUCACUUCCUAGACAACUUGCUAAAAGUCACCUAAAGACAGUCUGGUUACUGCCAAAGAUAUGCUUUCAAAUAAGAUUUGGAUAAAGAAGGGAGGUAGAUGCCUUUUUUCAGCAGUGGAGUGAUGUCUAGACCAGUAGAUGUACGCAUCUAAGUGAAUUCAUCACCAGCAACAAUUUCCAGAAACUUCCUGACCUCCAGAUUGCAGCUUCAUUAGUGUGAGUUUAAAGCCAACUAGAUGCCAUUCUCAGAUUCCACGCAUAUGGCCAAGGGUCCAG